UUUGCAGUGUAAAAUGGAGUGAAAUGAGCGAUUAAACGUCGAAGUAUCUCCAUCGGGAAGGAGAUGACGGCUACUUUUCGACAAAAUCGACAAAAUCAUUGCGAUUUGCGAGCCAUUUUGCUUGUUUCGACGCUUAAACGGCAGUGCAUUACAUUUGCAGUAUAAAAUGAAGUGAAAUGAGAGCUUAAACGUCGAAAUAUCUCCAACGGGAAGGAAAUGACAGCGACUUUUCGUCAAAAUCGACGAAAUCAUCGCGAUUUGUGAGCUAUUUUGCUUGUUUCGACGCUUAAACGGUAUGCAUUACAUUUGCAGUGUAAAAUGGAGUGAAAUGAGCGCUUAAACGUCGAAAUAUCUCCAGCGGGGAUGAAAUGACUGUUAGUUUUCGUCAAAAUCGACGAAAUCAUCGCGAUUUGCGAAUUAUUUUGCUUGUUUCGACGCAUAAACGGUAGUGCAUUAAAUUUUCAGUGUAAAAUGAAGUGAAAUGAGCGCUUAAACGUCGAAAUAUCUCUAGGAAGAAGGAAAUGACAGAUAGUUUUCGUCAAAAUCGACGAAAUCAUCGCUAUUUGCAACCUAUUUUGCUUGUUUCGACGCUUAAACGGCAGUGCAUUACAUUUGCAGUGUAAAAUGAGGUGAAAUGAGCGCGUAAACGUCGAAAUAUGUCCAGCGGGAAGGAAAUGACGGCUACUUUUCGUCAAAACCGACGAAAUCAUCGCGAUUUGUGAGCUAUUUUGCUUGUUUCGUCGCUUAAACGGCAGUGCAUUACAUUUGCAGUGUAAAAUGAGGUGAAAUGAGCGCUUAAGCGUCGAAAUAUCUCCAGCGGGGAUAAAAUGACUGUUAGUUUUCGUCAAAAUCGACGAAAUCAUCGCGAUUCACGAGCUAUUUUGCCUGUUUCGACGCUUAAACGGCAGUGCAUUACAUUUGCAGUGUAAAAUGGAGUGACAUGAGCGCUUAAGCGUCGAAAUAUCUCCAGCGGGGAUGAAAUGACUGUUAGUUUUCGUCAAAAUCGACGAAAUCAUCGCGAUUUGCGAAUUAUUUUGCUUGUUUCGACGCAUAAACGGUAGUGCAUUACAUUUGCAGUGUAAAGUGGAGUGAAAUGAGGGCUUAAACGUCGAAAUAUCUCUAGCAAGAAGGAAAUGACAGUUAGUUUUCGUCAAAAUCGACGAAAUCAUCGCGAUUUGCGAGCUAUUUUCCUUGUUUCGACGCUUAAACGGUAGUGCAUUACAUUUGCAGUGUAAAAUUGAGUGAAAUGAGCG